rnacentral:rRNA from 1 species
ACGCUCGACACCUACGGAGGCAGCAGUAGGGAAUCUUCCACAAUGGGCGCAAGCCUGAUGGAGCAACACCGCGUGAGUGAAGAAGGGUUUCGGCUCGUAAAGCUCUGUUGUUGGAGAAGAACGUGCGUGAGAGUAACUGUUCACGCAGUGACGGUAUCCAACCAGAAAGUCACGGCUAACUACGUGCCAGUAGCCGCGGUAAUCUGAGCGGGCUGGCAAGGC